rnacentral:rRNA from 1 species
UACGUAGGGUGCAAGCGUUGUCCGGAAUCAUUGGGCGUAAAGAGCGUGUAGGCGGCCAGAUAAGUCCGCUGUGAAAUCUCGAGGCUCAACCUCGAGCUGUCGGUGGAAACCGUAAGGCUAGAGUCCGGAAGAGGAGAGUGGAAUUCCUGGUGUAGCGGUGAAAUGCGCAGAUAUCAGGAAGAACACCCGUGGCGAAGGCGGCUCUCUGGGACGGUACUGACGCUGAGACGCGAAAGCGUGGGGAGCGAACAGG